rnacentral:lncRNA from 1 species
CUUCCAUUUCCCAGAGAGGCCAGAGGCAGAGGGGUGCAGAAGAGAGAGCAGAGCCCCUUUGCCUGGGCACAUCUGGGCUCACUACAUGGGAAAGGGCCCCAGGACAAGGGAAGACGAGAAGAGACAGGCCAGGCCCAAGGAGGGAGAGGACCUGAGAUCGAAGAUAGGAGAGAGGAAGACAAGAAGGAGAAGCAGAAAUGAGAAGGUUGGAGAAAUCCGAAGAGGCAGCUAGGGAGAGUGGGAGGUAGGCAGAGGGCAGGCAGGAGAAAAGAAAUGAUUCUUUUUGAACAGGCCCGCGGCUCCUCCAGCACACUGACUCAAAGAUGUGGGCAGCUGAGCCUGCCUGCUCUGUGCCGUGGCUUUCUCAGUUAGUCCAGGACCACUGGGAGGGGAGUGGUGGACACCCAGCUAGCGCCUCCCCCAUCAGGAGCACCUACAGUCUGUGAUGACUGCCCCCAGCACCCUAAGUCAAUGUUUAACCGUGGCCUGAGCCCAGGAAUGUUCUAUCUGGGACAUGCAAUUACAGGGGGUUGGGUUACAGUCCCACCACUGGCAAGGGCUUGGUGGCAGGAGAUAAGAAGGUGGCACCAGGAAGGGUUGUGUGUGUGCUCAACCGUGGGCUCCCAGCACACCCCCGGGGCCGGCUCACAAGGCUCCAUUGUUGGGGUCUGGCUCCCAGCCCAUCGCCAGCCAGAUAGGAGCUGCUGUUUUGACAAGGCGAGAAAAGCACACCCCAAGUUCGUACAGAUCCCGUACCCCAUUCUUAUCAGGUGGAAGGUAGGGAGCUAGCAAAGCUAAUGUUGAUUUAGAGAAAAAAAAAAAGGAAGAAAUAUUAGCAAUCAUGGGAAAAGUCAGUUCCGGCAGCUGAAGGCAGGGUUGGGAGUGUCAAGGGCUGGGGAAGAGGCCCCACGGUUCUGGUGCUAUGCUGGGUACUAUGGUGCGGGAGUGGAAACCAGGCAUAGCCAUUCUGCUUCCUAGGACUUGAAGUCUAGUUAGGACAAGAAUAGUUCAUUUAUUCACCUAAAUAUGCAGGCUCUGUCGUAGGUGCUGGGGGGAUUCAAGUUGCUGAACUUCUAGUGGAAUGUGCUUAAAAAUAGAGAGCUGUGAACAUCUGCACUUAGCUGGGGGGACAGGGCGAGUGAGACAGAGGGAAGGCGGGGAUCACUCUUGGGUAGACAGGCAAGGCCCUGAAGGCUGAAGGAGAAAUGCAGAUUAUUACCAGGAGGCUGGGUGUGAAUCCCAGCUCCUUCUCCACCAGCGGAUUCUGAGAGAGGAAUUUUGUCUGACUGAGCCGCAAUCUAUAAAAUGAGGAAGACAGGAGAAACUACUUAAGGUGGUUAAAUAGAGGAUUGGAGGAGAGAAGUCAUGCAGGUACUGAGCACAGGUGGCCCCUCUGGAAAUCAGUAUCACAAAUGGGUAAAUCACAGGCAGCUGGUCAUCCAAGCUGGGAGCUAAAGUGUGGUAAACGUGGGCUAGACCCCAAGCUGGUGCUGUAGGCUAGGAUUGGGCUAGUUAGCACAGAGCAGGGACGGCAGCUCUGGGAGAGAAAGGAGGCCAGCCUGCUGUGAGGGUAGGGUCACGUCCCCUCUUUCCCCAGCAUGAGGGGCCGGCACACCACAGACAUAGAGGGCAGCUGCCAUCACCACUCAAAAACUCUGCGACACCAGUUUAAAGUGUGCUGUAAAAUACAGAUUUGGAAGAAAUGAGCUGAGUAGAUCACUUUAAGGAUGAAAAAUCCCUAUAAAAUGUCAGUUUGGGCCGGACGAGGUGGCUCACACCUAUAAUCCCAGCACUUUGGGAGGCCGAGGUGAGCCGGGCAUGGUGGCAGGUGCCUGUAAUCCCAACUACUCAGGAGGCUGCGACAGGAAAAUUGCUUGAACUCAGGAGGCAGAAGUUUCUGUAAACCAAGAUUGCACUACUGCACUCCAGCCUGGGUGACAGAGUGAGACUCAGUCUCAAAAAAAAAAAAAAAAAAAAAAAAAAAAGAAAGAAAAAAAGAAAAAGGAAAAGAAAAGAAAGAAAAUGUGUCAGUUUGGAGACCCACUGAUGAGAAAGAGCCACAGGGUGACCUCCUGUCUUGUGCAUGCAAGUCAUGCACUACUGUAGGUCUGCAACAAAGCUGCCCUGGGCAGACAAGGCAGGGGAGAAAGAGGUUGUGUUAGUCUGCUUAGGCUGCCAUAACAAAAUACCAGACUGGGUGGCUUCGACAACAGACAUUUAUUUCUCACAGUUCUGGGGGCUGAGAAGUCCAAGAUCAAGGUGCUGCCAAUUUGGUUCCUGGUGAAUGAGCAAACAGCACAGAAAAAGAAACAGCAGUAUAUGUGGAAGAAAGCAAGAAAAAUCAACUGGCCUGGAACCUAAGACUUGUCCAAAGAUGUCACAGAGAGUAAAAUGAGAAAAAUCCAGUAGCCCGUGCCCAGAGCAGUUCCUCGUACCCAGCAGAAGGCUAACAAGCCCUGAGAUGAAUGAUGCUCUUCCCAAGGAAGGCAGAGGAGGCGACAGUCCAUUUGCGUUCUCUCCUCUGCAAGUACAGGAUCUCGUUUGAUUCUCAAAACCACCCUAGAGGAGACAGGAGGCACCUGAGGCCCAGAGACGUGAAGCCACCUGUCCAAGGCCAUACAGCAGAUAACUUAUUCUGGAGGAAGACACCUGCCAUGCCGUGAGGACAGUCAAGCAGUUCUGUGGAGAGAUCCAUGUGGUGAGAAACAGGGGCCUCCUGUCAACAGGAAGAACAACCUGGCAGGCCUGUCUUGGAUUCAGAGCCUCCAGCCCCAGUCGAGCCUUCAGAUAACUGCACCCUUGGCUGUCAUCUCAACUGCAAUCUCACGACAGACCCUGAGCUGGAACUACUCUGUUUACCAAUGCCUGGCCCACAGAAAGACUAUGAGAUAAAACAAGUAUAUUGUUUUUAGAAGAUAUGUUUUGGAGUAAUUUAUUAUGCUACAAUAGAUAAUACAGAAUUUGGUGAUUUUAUGAUUCUCAACUCCUGGCCAAAGCAAAGCACACAACAAGUCUCAAAGAAAAGUCUCACAAGUGGAAUUGAAAGUACAAAGCUGGCCAGACAAGCUUGUGCAGACAUGUAUGUGGUGGAGUUGAAAAUCACACACUACGACUCACACAAGUGAGUAAAACCUGCGUCUUUCUUAAUUUUUCUUGUACUCUUCUCAUCUAGAUCUAAUGAGAUACUUCCUGCUGUUGACAGGCAAUAAAUGAAUGAACGACAAAAACAAAACAAAAAGAAAAGAAACAAAACAGAAAGAAAAGAAACAAAACAGAAAGAAAAGAAAGAAACAAAACAGAAAGAAAGAAAAGAAAUCUUUAACUUGCCCACUACAGGUUUCUCUAUUUCUGCAUGUUCAAGCAAAUCUCCUUUCAGCAAAAUACUCAUCGUUUUCUCCCUAUUCCCUCUUCUGCUAGCCAGAUGUCUCUCUUCCUGGUGCAGGGAGACAUUUACAGACCUCAUGGUGGUGGGAAGAGGAGUUCAAGGUCGGUGUGGAGUUCUCUGCAUUCUUCCCACAUACCUUCCCCACACACAAUGGGACAGGGCUGGUCGGGCCUGGUCCCUGGGAUCCCUGGUGGCAUUGGUGAUGGUUGGGGAUGGAGAGGGGUACUGAUGAAGUGAGUGGUCCCCGCACAAGGCUGGUGGUGCAGAUCCUACCUCUGUGUUCUUGAUUUCUCUUUUUUUUUUUUUUUCUUUGAGACAGAGUUUUGCUCUUUUUGCCCAGGCUGGAGUACAAUGGCGUGAUCUCAGCUCAUCACAACCUCCGCCUCCCGGGUUCAAGUGAUUCUCCUGCCUCAGCCUCCCAAGUAGCUGGGAUUACAGGCAUGUGCCACCAUGCCUGGCUAAUUUUGUAUUUUUAGUAGAGACGGGGCUUCUCCAUGUUGGUUAGGCUCGUCUCAAGCUCCCGACCUCAGGUGAUCCACCUGCCUCGGCCUCCCAAAGUUCUGGGAUUACAGGUGUGAGUCACCACACCUGGCCUGUGGCCUUGAUUUCUACCCUUUCCCUGGGACCUAGGACCGCCUGGCUGCAUUCUACCCCUCCAGAAGAGGCAGAGUUCCGAGAGCCACUUCCUAGACUGCUUCUUUAGACAUUUCUAAACUACCUCCUGGGCAGCGCCAUAAUGUGUUACACCUUCCUCAAUCACUGCUUUCUUAAAGGAGUUCACUGAAAUUCCCCACAGCUGUCAUCUGAGAGUCAAAUUCCACCUACCUUGUGCGGUGAAAUUUAGCUGCAAAUGUGGCUGGGGUGUCUCCCACACAGCCCUCUGAGUGUCCACUGGGGUGAGGGACAGAGCUUUUUGCUUCUCACCUUCUCUCUUCCUUGAGUCCUGCUGUUCAGUAGCUGUAUCUCUCCAUCCCGUCCUACCUCAUCCGUCCUGGAUGACUUGCUUCGAUUCAACCCUACACUUACUUCCCCGGGCAAUGAACGUCACCUUAGCCUUCACCCUGAAGGGCUACAGGAGAACGAGAAUUAUAGAAAGUGAAAAUACAUCCCUUUGCUAUUUUAUAAGUGCUAUUUCUAUAACACAUGCAUACCCGAAGCACACACACUUGCAUGCAGAGACCCAGAGACAAGCUGAUUCCAAGACCCCAAACACACUAGAGACACACCACAAACACCCUAGGGCUGAACUGGGGCCUGCUCAGGGAACCCUUGCCUGUGACUUCUCAGUAUCAUCCAAGGGGACCCACCUGCUCCUGGAGCCUCCAGGGGGAUCCCUUGUUUACUCUCAAGAUGAUUGUUCUCACCCCUUCUCUCAAAGGCCCUGGGAGUGAGGCAAAGAGGAGGGAGCGCCACCUCUAAUCAGAUCCUCCUCAGGAUAAAAAAAAAAUCAGCAACUGGAGAUGCCCCUGGCUGGUGGACUACUUCUUUUUUUUUUUUUUUUUUUGAGAUAGAUAGAUAGAGUCUUGCUCUGUUGCACAGGCUGGAGUGCAGUGGCGCAAUCUUGGCUCACUGCAAUCUCCACCUCCCGGGUUCAAGUGAUUAUCCUGCCUCAGCCUCCUGAGUAUCUGGGACUACAGGUGUACGCCACCACGCCCGGCUAAUUUUUGUAUUUCUAGUAGAAAUGGGUUUCACCGUGUUAGCCAGGAUGGUCUUGAAUUCCUGACCUUGUGAUCUGCCCACCUUGGCCUCCCUAAGUGCUGGGAUUAUAGGCAUGAGCCACUGCGCCCAGCUGGACUUCUAUAGCUUCUACUGCCUCCUGUCCCUGCAGGCUCUUAGAUGGGUAUCUGGGCUCAGUCUCCUUUGCUGAGCGCCAGACACCUUGGUCAGCUGCUCCAGGACUCUGUCUGAUUUCCCAAAGGCAUCUCCAAUGCAGCCAUCCCAAACUGACUCAUCCUCUUCCCCAGGACAGAGACAGGCCUCUCUCCAUCAAUCCCUCAUCCUCUGGCCCUCUAUUCUAACUACCCCUCCCUCUCUCUAACACUGCGAUGGGCAGGGGCUUAUCUUCUUCUUCCCACCUGGUCCUCCUGUUUCUACCUGCCUCCAACCCCCUCACGGCAACAGGGGGACUUAUCUUGAUUGGAAAGUGGGUCUCAUGGAUUUGCAGCCUCACGUUGAAAAACCUGUCACCAACUCCCCAGCGCCCACAGGAUCACACCCUUGGGCAGAGCAGUAAGCCCCAUCCUUCCCUGGCCUGGCCCAAGUGCCCCGCACCCAGCUGCAGCCGAGAUGAGAAACCCGAGGCUCAGAGAGGCCCUGUAAUUUGCUCAAGAACAAGAAACCACUACAUCUGAGAUCUUAUCCUUCUGACCCCUCGAUCCGGGUCUUUGCACAGGCAUGGCACCACUCUUGAGUACCCAAGUUAAAAUUCCAGCUCUAUCCUUUAGGAAUUUGACCUUGGCCAAGUUCUCAAAGUCUCCUGUGCCUUACUUUAAAAAAUACGUUUCUUUAAUAAAUGCACCUCAAUAAAGUUAUUGAGGGAUAAUUUACAUACAACAAAUGCACAGAUUUUAUGUGCCCAGCUUGAUGAAUUUUGACAAAUGGAUACCCCCAUGUAAUAACCACACAGUCAAGACGUGGAACAUUGUUCUUACCCCAGAAAGCCCUUCCUUCCGUGCAAACAAAAGGAAGCAAACAAAACUAUCUGCCUCAUAGUGUUAGGAAAAUCGAAUGAGAUAAUACAGGUGAGAUCCUUAGCAAGGCGCCUGGCACGCAGGAAACGCUGGAUAAAUGCAUUGCUAUCAUUCCCUGGCUGUCCCCCUCCUUGACUGGGGCAGGGAUCAGGGCAUAUGCUGAACCAUCUCCCUUCUCCAGCCUAAGGCCAUUUAGCCAGACUAGAAGAAGACUCGGGGGGAUGGAAUAUGUGUCUUGGAGGAGACUUGGAACCAUUUUCGUAAGUCUCCAGAAGCCAUGAUGGGGCUGGGGGUGGAGGAAUUGGCCAGCUUUUGCCUAUGUCUGGCCCAAAGAUAGGGUUUUGCAAUCAUAGCUCACUGAAACCUCAAACUCCUGGGCUCAAGCUGUCCUGUCUCAGCCUUUUGAUUAGCUGGGACUACAGGUAUAUAUGCCGCCAUGCCAUGCUAAUUUUUAAAUUUUUUGUAGAGACGGAGUCUUGCUAUGCUUCCCAGGCUGGCCUCAAACUCCUGGCCUCAAGUGAUCCUCCCGCCUUAGCCUCCCAAAGUAAGCCUGGCCAUCCUCUGUUCUUUUGAGACUCAAAGGAUGAAGGCGCUCAUGGCAGGGCCAGCUUCACAGGUUGGUGACCAAGGCAGCUGCACAGGGCCUUGCUGUCAGAAAGUCCCCACAACUUGGAUUAAUGCUCCCAUGUUAUGUGAAAUCCUUAAUAAUUUUUGAACAAGGGAUCUUGCAUUUUCAUUUUGCACUGGGCCCUGUAAAUUAUGCAGCUGGUGGUGAUGGUGGGGAGGGUGGAGCAAGCUGGCUGGUUUCCUCCCUAGAAAAGCCAGUGCUAUUGCCCUCCCCACUUCCACUCACUGACUACACACAGCUACACAUGCUCAUUCACCUCCAUGGUCCCCUCUCUGUCCCUCUCCACAGUGGGGCAUCUAGGAGAAUCUGGGUCACUCAGGGCCCUCCGCUGCCAGGAGACACCAACAGAACCUGGAAGCCUGCUUGGCCUGGAAACCCCCUUGGGAACAGCUCCUGCUCACAGGGCCUGCUGGGCAGGCCACCCGAAUUCCCAUCCUCUGACACUCCUCUCCAGCCGCCUCCACCCAGCUCUGCAGCUCAAGUGCAAAACCACAGCUGGGUGCCAGCCAAGGGGUCUUGGGUUUCAUCACAUUCAACUUCCCACACCUCGGCCAGAGGCCAGGGUCGAAUGGGGCUGCUGGCCAGAGGCCUGGGCUGGAAGGCAGAGGAGGGGGUGGGGUCCAGUCCUACCCUCGCUUCCUAUCCAUGGCAGAGUACCCCCUCUCUUAGGCCUCAGCUUCCCCUCUAUGUAAUGGGACAGGACUCCACAGGGCUGGAGCAGAUGCCAAGGAUGUCGGGAAGGAAGGCCUCAGAGGCCAAGGCAUCGAAGGAGCUCCUAGAACUUCACUGUCCAAUAUGGUGGCCUCAAGCCUCUCAUAGCCAUUUAAAUUUAAAGGAAUUUAAAGGAAAGAAAAUUCAUAUUUCAGUUCCUCAGUCACUCCAGUCACUUUUUUUUUUUUUUUUUUUUUUUUUUAGAUGGAGUCUUGCUCUGUCACCCAGGCUGGAGUGCAGUGGCACAAUCUCGGCUCAUUGCAACGUCUGCCUCCCGGGUUCAAGCGAUUUUCCCACCUCAGCCUCCUGAGUAGCUGGGAUUACAGGCACAUGCUGCCACACCUGGCUAAUUUUUUUGGUAUUUUUAGUAGAGACUGGGUUUCACCAUGUUGGCCAGGCUGGUCUUGAACUCCUGACCUCAAGUGAUCCACUCCCCUUGGCCUCCCAAAGUGCGGGGAUUACACGUGUGAGCCACUGAGCCUGGCCUCCAGUCACAUUUCAAGUACUCAGUAGGUAGCGACAGGUGGCUCAUGGCCACUGUAUUGAAUAGCACGGAUACAGAACAUCUCCGUCAAUACAGAAAGUUCUACCGAGACGCAUGCCCUGGCUAGGAAAGACCAGGUGCCAGGGACACUAGUAGCUUUACUCUCCUGGGGUGGGGAGCUGGGGCAGGGGGCUGUGAUUGAGAAACACUGGAGACAUCCUCUCACUCCUCUCCCCACCUCACCACGGAUGAGGUGGACUCGCCAUGAGGGGAGCCAGGAGCCUGACACCCAGUACAGGUGUGGACACCCCAGAGGCAGCUUCCAUCCUGACUCCUGGAGUGGAAAGCAGGCUUCCUGGGUCCCUGGGAAGAGGCACUGGGGGAAGCUUCAGAGAGGGAGGAAGUGGCCAGAAGCAGGUGCUCUUCCUAGCAAAGGGCUCCCCAGGAGCUACUUCCAAAUGGGAAACAUCAGCCCUCCCCAAUCCUCACCUCUGGAUGAAUUCCCUGAAGGCUUCAGGAGCAUUUGCAUGUUACAGUACAAUGGUCCUCAAACUUCAGCUUGCAUGGGAAUCCCUGGAAGCUUGCUAAGGCACAGCCAACUAAGUACAAACUUGAAACACGCACACUUCCACUGUCUAUGCGGCAGGCCGAAAUAGGGAUAUCUGGGUUCUGUCCAUCAUAGGGUUCAUUAUUGUGUGGGCCUGUCUGGGGCAGAUCAUUGAAAGAUAUUAGGUUGGUUUUAUCUGGGCAUCUUAGGGAUGCAGCAGAGAGGGUGAUAUGGCAGACCUCAGGAGAGACUGGUUGGGGGAGAGGAAAGAAAGGGGUGGAAGCGAGGGAUGGAGGACAGGGAGGGAGGAGGGAAGAGGGGGAUGGAGUGGGAGCCCGCUCGUGCAUCUCCUGCUGACCUUGUUCUUCCUACCUAUCUUCUCACCUCCUCCUCACAACCACCUUACAAGUCGGCAAAUGUGUGGCUCUGAGAGAUUACACAACCUUGCAGCAGAUACAUGGUCCCUAGGGAGUCAGGCUGGACUCUGUUUCCUCUACCUUUUCUCCCUCCAACUCUGAGUAUUUUCAAACGAAAUAAGCCUGGGAAGCGGGGAAGACUCAGAGCUGUGAAUACAUUUUUUUGUUUUCUGAGCUCAUUCGGCUUUGACAGGAAGCUUGGCUGCGUGCGGGCAGGCGUCUGAGCCCUCCCUCAAUGGUGCUUUUUAGGCAUGCCUUUAUACAGAAUGUAAAGAGUCGCAGUUAUAAAUAUCAGCGGGCUUCUGUGGCCCACUCCGUCCCUCAGCCCCCACGCCCAGCUGGGAUGUCCUGGGACUUCCCGCUUGCCCUCCUCCCCCAACCCCUCCAGCCAGUACCACCCUCAGUGCAUCUGGGAAGGGUGGGAACCGUGAUGCGCCUUGGGCUGGGAAACCAAGGGGGAGUGAAACCCAAAACUGAAUUUCUCCUUUUUCGGAAGAAAGGUUGUUUUCAGUGUCAGGAAACCCAUAAUCCUACAGCCAGCUGUGAAGAUUCCAGAAUGCCUCUCACUUUACAGGUGAGGAACUAGAGGGCCCCCUGGAAAGCUUAUGAACACCCUGACCCCAGAGCUCACCCUCCCUCACUGGGAAAGAAAGUCCCUCUUUUCACUUUGUCACCCCCACCCACCUCCCAAGGCACCCACAGCAUGGUCACUCUUUGAUGACUGUUUGUAUUAUAAGCGGCUCCUCCAACUCUGUUCUACAGUCCCCUCCAUGGAUGCCCUGGAGGGAGGAGGCAGGCGAGACGCGGUCCCAUUUUACAGACGGCCAAAGAGUUGAGUGACUACACAGCUCAUCCCAGGAGAGCUGCCUGGCCCUGCUUCCUGAUAGCCGGCCUGUGCCCCUAGACCUCCCCCGACCCCACAGGCCCCCUCCCCCUCCCUGUAUGCACCCCCUGUCCCCUCACUGAGGCCCAGGAGCACAGUUGAUUUAGAAUUUCCUGCCCUUCUGACAAUCUGCGUGCACAAAACGGGCUUUCUUUAAACCGCUUCGAAGGGCAUCUCCUCCAGCCCCUUCCCCUGCCUUCAUUAAACGCCUCGUCUGAAGCAGGAUAAAUCUUCGGUGAUUAGAAGCAUGCUCCUUGUUCCUGUCCCUGCCCCGAUGGGAAGCGCAUUUCUCAAAGGGUUAAUUAACAGCCUUCACACAGGCCGCAUUUAGCAACGAACACAAAGCCACACACAUAAAUAACGUCUGGGGCGGAAGAAGAGGGUGCAGAUGGUUUGUGACUUUGCCGUCCAGAGUUUUCUAAACCGGUGUGAACCACGUCCUGUCGGGACCAGGACCAUGAGUCAGGGUCAGGCUUUAAGGUGGGCCAGGCCAGAGACGCUAGUGGCCAACUUGGUGCUCUUUGAAAGCAAGUCCUAAAGGAAAACAGAGCGUGGAGCCAAGAUGUGGGGAGAGAGGGAGGGGACGGGGUAGGGAGGAGGGCCUGCUGGCUGACCUGGAGAGAAAAGAGCCAAAGAGAGCCAGAGAUGCGAACCGGGAAGAACCAAGCAGGAGGCCAGAGACAUUGAGUCCCAGCUCCCUGCAAAGUAGUGCUGAAUUUACCAGGGGCUCCACCCAGAAAUUCAGACCCUGGGGCAUAGGGUCCCACUCUGGCCCUGUAGUGAGAGUGAUGGCAAGACAUCCCCAGCCUAAGAGGAGUUGUGUGGGGCUGAGAAAAGGGUUUCAGGAAGGAUAGCCCUGAGGAACCCUGGAAAGUUCUGGAAGUGGCACAGUGAUAUUCGCAGUAUUCCGCCUCAUCCAUGCAUAGGGUCUGUUCCUCUACGCAGCCUUCAGCUCCCCUGGGGGCUCAUAUGCCCCUUCCCAAAGCUAUGGGAACACAUCUGAGGUCUCAAAAUGCAUGGCAACAGGAACACAGGAUUCACUUUACAGAGAUCAGCACUGUUGCAAGGGAUGCCUGAAGCCAAAACAGAGGAAAACGAGAGCCAAGAAGCAGAGGGAGCGAUGCAGAUGUGCACUGGACAUCCACAAACCGCAACAGGAAUGGGGAGAGGAGAGAAGUGAUUGGAAAGCCAGUUUUUGGCAUUCGGCUGGCUGCCAUUCUCUUCACCUUUGUGGUCCCUCCAGUUUGCCCUCCUCAGCCCUAAGGGGUCCUCCCCUACUCGGAGAGGCCCUCACCAUGCUCACUCAGACCCUCUCCUCCUAGGAGCCAGGAGGUGGGACAUGGGGAGGGGGACAGUGAGUCCUGAAUGGAUUUCUGCCCUGGAGGUGAGGGCACCCCUGGUGCCAGGGAGAGGCCCUACCACAGCACAAACUGGGCUGCCCUUCCUGACCCAGGGAUGAACCAGCCUGGGCACUCAGGCCACGGCUGUCUCCCUGUGCCAGGCUCAGCGCCCUGGGGAUGAGGGCGCAAAGAAAGAGACGGGGCCGACAACACAGGCCCAACAGCAGGCCCUGUGUCUGGGAGCGGCAGUUUCUCCCCAAGUAAUUUUCCACAGUUUGGCUUUUCCUCCACACACAGGCUUGCUCACAGAGUUCAGAUGGUGGCUGGUCCUCCAGAGGGUUACUCUGGGCCACUCACCUGCUCGGUGACCCCACCUGCAUUGAUUUCUGCCCUCAUCACUCAGCUGUCUCCAGCUUGCUUCUCAAAGCCCUGUGCCCAUCUCAGGGAUAUGGCUUCUCCAGCCCCCAGAGCUCACUUCACCCCAUCAGGGCCUGGAUCUUGGGUAGUUAUGGGAACCCCUAAAUGCACCAUCCUCUCUGGGCCAGGGCCAACAUUUCUGUUUUCUCAGAAGGAUCAAAGCCCCUUUCCUAGCCCUGCCAGGAGGAAGCAGUUUUGACUCGUGCAAAUAUCUGAAGCCCAUUUGGGAUUUUACUUUGGUGAGAAAUAAAUACACAGCCAUCUGCAAAUGAUGGAAAUAUGACUUAAGUAACUUUUUGGUCGAGGCUCCUGGGCCAGAGGCCAGAUGGAAAUAAGACCUUGUAUCUCAGUCCUCCUUGCACACUUUCAGAAAAAAGAAAAGGCUGGGGGAAAAAGUUGGUGGAAACUGAAGUUCAAAAUGGAGUGUGCUAAAUUUCUUGGCCUGGGAAAGGAAAAAUAAACAUCAAACAGCUACCCCAUUCAAGUGUGCGUUAUCUUGCUCAUCCUCGCCAAGAACUCACCCUCCUCCCUUCUUUGACCGGGAAUUGCUGUGCCCACGAACAGCCCCCACGCCCACCCCUAACCCAGGGCAGGCAAACAAUGGGCCAGAAAACCCUGCUCAGCCAAGGCCUCUCCCCCUGCAGCCCCCAGAGGCCAUAAGAUUGGGAAACACAGGCUAUUUUUAUGUGUUAUUUGUCUACCAACUGUGGCUCCAGGAGCCUGAGCAACAGUAUCAUCUGUGGGAGGUACCAUUGAUUUUUUUGUUUUAACUCGCUCAGACAAAGCCACAUUUUCGCAACUUUCAGAAAAGCCAAAAAAGCAACACUCUGCAAGGCUGACCUCUUCCCUGGCUUGCCUUUCUGCCCUCCAGGGAGCUCUUUCUGGGUGUGUCUGGGCCCCUGUUGCUCUGUGCUGGCCCACACCAAGCACACAGCCCCAGAUCCAGAGGGCCCAAAGGAUAGCCAGUGAAACAAGGAAGGGUGAGGGGGGCAGAGAGAGGAUCUGAGGAGAAGGGGUAGUGUCUCCAACUGGUGAGGGAGGCACAAACCCUGCCCUGGGGGUGCCAGUGUGAUGGAGCAGUGGGGCUAACAGAAGAGUGUGAGAAGUCGCACACAGAGAAAAUGGCUGCUUGAUAGCCAUCCAUCUCCCAAGUCCACGGGUUGGGAUGCUCUGUGCAGCGGGUACACCCAGAGGCAGAUACAGGGCUGAGAGGGUGCAGGCCAGGUGCGACUGCCUAGGCUGGGGCUGAAAGAAUCCAGCUGGCAGAGGUGGCUCACACCUGUAAUCCCAGCACUAUGGGACGCCGAGGCACGAGUCC